GAUGAACGCUAGCUACAGGCUUAACACAUGCAAGUCGAGGGGCAGCAUGGUCUUAGCUUGCUAAGGCCGAUGGCGACCGGCGCACGGGUGAGUAACACGUAUCCAACCUGCCGUCUACUCUUGGACAGCCUUCUGAAAGGAAGAUUAAUACAAGAUGGCAUCAUGAGUCCGCAUGUUCACAUGAUUAAAGGUAUUCCGGUAGACGAUGGGGAUGCGUUCCAUUAGAUAGUAGGCGGGGUAACGGCCCACCUAGUCUUCGAUGGAUAGGGGUUCUGAGAGGAAGGUCCCCCACAUUGGAACUGAGACACGGUCCAAACUCGUACGGGAGGCAGCAGUGAGGAAUAUUGGUCAAUGGGCGCAGGCCUGAACCAGCCAAGUAGCGUGAAGGAUGACUGCCCUAUGGGUUGUAAACUUCUUUUAUAAAGGAAUAAAGUCGGGUAUGUAUACCCGUUUGCAUGUACUUUAUGAAUAAGGAUCGGCUAACUCCGUG
rnacentral:rRNA from 1 species